AGUAGACUUUAUGGUCAAGCUACUAAGGGCGUGUGUGUGGAUGCCUUGGCGCAAGUAGGCGAAGAAGGACGUGGUCAGCUGCGAAAAGCUUCGGGGAGCCGCUAACAGGCUGUGAUCCGGAGAUAUCCGAAUGGGGAAACCCAACGGGUGUGAACACCCGUUACCGUCAUCUGAAUAUAUAGGAUGGCGGGGCGAACCGGGGGAAGUGAACCAUCUCAGUACCCCGAGGAGAAGAAAACAACCGUGAUUCCG
rnacentral:rRNA from 1 species